ACUUUAAUAGCUUAUAAAGAGUUUAAUAUUGAAGAUAUUAAGGAGAUGAAUCAUCUUAAGGUA
rnacentral:tRNA from 2 species